UAUUUAUUUUAGUUUUAGGUUUUGGGGAGAGAACAAAGAAAUAAAGUCUUUGUCACGCCAGUUGGCAAAAAAAAAAACUUAUUGAAAUAGAAUUAUGUGACAAUGGUAGAAUUUGGCAAGAGUAAAAAAAAGGUGUUUGUUUUUUUAAGGCAACUUGAGGUAUUUUGCUAAGAAAACUUUUAAAAUAUUAUGGAAAAGAAUGUUUUAGAGUGAAAGAUACAAAAAUCAUAUAGAUAGAUCAAUUAACGCUGCGAUCAAAAGUGACCAGCAAAAUCGUGACUUUAUUGGCACAAACUCAGCACACGUUUAGUAAUGGAAUACAAACGUUAGACAUGUGUACUUAUUGCAUAUAUUAGCACUUAAAUAUUACAGAUAUGAAUAUAUUAUUAAGCGGAAUUAAUUAAAUACAGUUAAAUUCUGAUGUAUAUAAUUUUCAAAUAAAAUGAAGA